GAUUGAACGCUGGCGGCAUGCCUUACACAUGCAAGUCGAACGGCAGCACGGGUGCUUGCACCUGGUGGCGAGUGGCGAACGGGUGAGUAAUACAUCGGAACAUGUCCUGUAGUGGGGGAUAGCCCGGCGAAAGCCGGAUUAAUACCGCAUACGAUCUACGGAUGAAAGCGGGGGACCUUCGGGCCUCGCGCUAUAGGGUUGGCCGAUGGCUGAUUAGCUAGUUGGUGGGGUAAAGGCCUACCAAGGCGACGAUCAGUAGCUGGUCUGAGAGGACGACCAGCCACACUGGGACUGAGACACGGCCCAGACUCCUACUGGAGGCAGCAGUGGGGAAUUUUGGACAAUGGGCGAAAGCCUGAUCCAGCAAUGCCGCGUGUGUGAAGAAGGCCUUCGGGUUGUAAAGCACUUUUGUCCGGAAAGAAAUCCUUGGCUCUAAUACAGUCGGGGGAUGACGGUACCGGAAGAAUAAGCACCGGCUAACUACGUG
rnacentral:rRNA from 1 species